GCCGCAGUAUACUAACUGUGCAAAGGUAGCAUAAUCAUUUGUUAUUUAAUUGAUAACUGGUAUGAAUGGUUUUAUAAAAAAUAUUCUUUUUUUAUUUUUUAUUUAAAAUUUUAUUUUAAAGUCAAAAAGCUUUAAUUUUUUUAUUAGACGAUAAGACCCUUUAGAACUUUAAUAUUAAUAAUAAAUACAUUUUUAGUUUUAUAAAUUUAUAUAUUUAUAUAUAUUUUUGUUGGGGUGACAGUUAAAUUUAAUUAACUUUAACUUUUUUAAUUUCAUUUAUUUUUGAUUUUUUUGAUCCAAUUUUAUUUGAUUAUAAGAUUAAGUUACCUUAGGGAUAACAGCGUAAUUUUAUUGGAGAGUUCUUAUUAAUAAUAAAGUUUGCGACCUCGAUGUUGGAUUAAA
rnacentral:rRNA from 1 species